rnacentral:misc_RNA from 1 species
CAUUAACCCAGCAAGAAUGGUCUCCUAAGCCCGCCACGUACCCUUCCUCUGCUGACACGUUUCAAUAGCGACUGCUUUCUCUGCAUUUCCCAUUAUCCCUUAGAAACAGCAAUCCAAAUCAACAGACCUCUCAUUUCUAACCUCCUCUUUCUGGUUAUUGCAAGGUUCCAUGUUGAGAUCAAUAGCACACUUGCAAUUUUAUUAAUUCAUUAGAAAGAGAUGGGAAAGUGCGUGAUAAUGAUGAUGGCAGCAGCGAUGGUGGUGGUGUUAUGGGCGGCGGUAUCGGUGGAUGUAGGAUGGUGCAAGGAUGCUGUGAAUAUGGCUGCAAGUAAUGUGGAGGUGAAGGCGAAAGAGAUGAAGCAGAAAGCAGCCAUGCAGGGUGUCAAGGAAAAGGCCGACUCCUGGUCUGACUGGGCUUAUGGGAAGUUCUCAGGGGGGCUUGGAUUGAAAGGAAAUGACGCCAGAGAAGCAGCUCAAAACCUAAUGGAUAGAGCCUCAAGGACCUCAGAUACAGUGAAACGUGCCGCAUCUGGUAAUUAUUUAUCCUCCGUAAUAUUUUUUGGUCCAAAUUUAGUUUUUUUGAACAAUAAUUUUCUUUUGCUUGUUGAUUUUGUUUAUUUCUUCCAGAAGCUUCAAGGCGUGCUUCUGAAAAGAAAGGCAAGGCAGAUCAGGUUAUAAGAAUGGCUUCAGAUAGAGCUAGUGAUGCCAGAGAAGCAAUGGCAGGAGCAAUGAACUAUGGGAAAGAUAAAAAUGACGCCUAUGACAUGGCUUCAAAUUGGGUUAGUGAUUCCAAAGAUGCAAUGGCAGAAGGAAUGCAUUAUGGUCGAAGCAGACUUGGUAAGGCUUAUGAAGAAGCAAUGAAGCAUGGAAAAGAGAGAGCAGCUCAUGUUCAUGAUGAAGCUAAGCAGCAAUUUAAUAAGGCUAAAGGAGCAAUGGAAAGUGGAAUGGGGUAUAGAAGAUGGGACGAGAUGGAUGUCUUUGAGGAAGCUAUAAAUAAAGUCGGAGAGGCAUGCAUGACGGCCAAGGAAACAAUGAAUUUUCAGGGCAAGUCUAAGUAUGAAGCUGCCAAGGAGAGAAUGUCGAAGGACACUGCAGAUCAUUGAGUAGAAGUACCACUUUCUACAUGCUAUCUUCAUCAGUGAGUCAUUGACAUCAGUCUGUUUGCAUCUUUAGUUCUCAUAACAUGUUCUCUGAGACAUCAUUUAGAAGUCGUGUCUAGCUAUGGGGUUCAAAUUCAAGAUGGACUUAUGGUUUUCUAUUUUCAUUGUAUAUUAUAGUCCAGGAACUGAACUCAUGAGUACUUUCUGCUCGCAAUGAGGUAGAUGUGUUUAAGAAACUUGGUGAUGGUAUAGACUAGACUUGGCAAAUGACAACUAACGGAUUUCAAUAACAUUUGGGGGAAAUAACAAUUCAGGCAGCUGGAGAUAUAUAGAACAGAAAUAUGCAUGCGGGGAGGGAAACUAUAUGUUAUGCUGCAAAACACUGGAGUAAUUAUAAUAAGAAAAGGGGGUAUUUGAGUGAACUAUGAGGAAUCUUGGUGUGUAAUUGAUCCCACUUGUUAUAAAUAAGGAUUAUUUUUUCCUCCUAGUUGGCCAUCUCUAGCAUAAUGAUUUUUCAAAAAUAUUCUUGUAAUUUUACUAAUGGC